AGUGAACGCUGGCGGCGUGCUUAACACAUGCAAGUCGAGCGAGAUCUGACAGCACACCGUCAGGUCUUAGCGGCAAGACGGGUGAGUAAUAUUUGGGCAAUCUGCCCUUGAGGUGGGGACAACCUGCCGAAAGGCGGGCUAAUACCCCAUAAGACCACAGGGAUGCAUAUUCCAGGGUCAAGCUCCGCAAGGGCGCUUAAGGAGGAGCCCGUAAUCCUAUCCANGGUAGUUGGCGAGGUAAUUGGCCCACCAAGCCGUUGACGGUAGCCGGCCUGAAGGGCAACC
rnacentral:rRNA from 1 species